AAACCUGAGCCUCAGUCCUCCAGGCUGAGUCCUGGUCCACGGCUACUCCACGCCGGAACUGCCAGGCUGCCACCUCAGAAUCCCGGGCGUCUAUGCGGUGAGACGCUUAGAUCCUGGAUCUGAGAUCUAAAGAGAAUGGGUGCAUCUUUGAUCAUCCAACUCAAAACCCAGCUAAAAUGUCUUCAGAGAGCCUUCUUAUGGAUUUCCCAGCUCAGGGCAAUCCCCUCCCUUCAUUCCACCCUCUGAAUGAAGCAAACUCCUGUCACCUCUCAAAUGAAAUAUGUCUCCUUCAGGGAAGGAGGCAGCCUUUUAGGGGUCCAUGUUUUGAGAGAUUUGUAGUCAUUUGCACCAUAGUAUGAAUUAGUGACUGAGGUCCUCCUGAGAAGCAGCAUCUACUGACUGAGAUGAAGGCGACCAAGACAGCCAUGGAUGAAAUCCUGAAAAGACCCAUCAGGAAAAGAUGAUAGUCAGAAGAGGGAAGGAGCACCCAAAUAAACUUUACCUCUACUCUUUUUUUAUUAACUGUUCUUUGAGCUGGCUGUAUUUGAAUGUCAUGCCAUGGUCUAAGUCUACCUCACUAGCUCUUUUCAUCACCUGGUACAUAGUAGGCACGUAAUAGAUACAUGCAGUAUGCUUCCUGAAUGAAUCAAUAAAGGUAAGAAGGAACAAA